rnacentral:rRNA from 1 species
CAUGUCCUUUUGAAAAUAAUUUAAGGUCUGAUCUGCUCAAUGAUUAAUUAAAUUGCCGCAGUAUUUUGACUGUGCAAAGGUAGCAUAAUAAUUAGUUUUUUGAUUAAAAGCUUGAAUGAAUGAUUGGACGAGAAAAUUACUGUCUCUUUUUAAUUUAUUUUUGAAUUUUAUUUUUAAGUUAAAAAGCUUAAAUUUAAAUAAAAGACGAGAAGACCCUAUAGAGUUUUAUAGUUAAAUUUUAUUUUUUUUUAGAAAAAAAUUUAAUAUUUAAUUAUUUAAUUGGGGUGAUUUGGAGAUUAAUAUAAUUCUUUAAAAUUAAAAUUGAUGAUUAUUAAAUUCUUUAUCUAAGUUUUUUAAAUUUAAUAUAAAUUACCUUAGGGAUAACAGCGUUAUUUUUCUUUAGAGUUCUUAUUGAAAGGAAAUUUUGCGACCUCGAUGUUGGAUUAAAAUAAAUUUUUGGUGCAAAAGCUUAAAAAUUAGGUCUGUUCGACCUUUAAUAUUUUACAUGAUCUGAGUUUAAACCGGUGUGAGCCAGGUUGGAUUCUAUCUUUAAUUUUAUUAUACAUUUUAGUACGAAAGGACCAAAUGUAUGUUAUAUUUAAUUG